UCAAACGCAACAAUCAGACUAGUGUUGAAAUGAGAACUAAAGAAUUUUUGCGUAUAUCUCGUGAUUUAGAUUUAUCGAUAAGGGAACUAUGAAUCAAAUCUGCAACCGACGGAGUUCCCCGUUCUCACAUUGAGAAAGGACAAUCAUUAUCUUGGACAGUUGUUAUCCCAAAAUAUCAAAAAAAUAAUCACAAAGAAACAAUUUUGUUAAAAAAAAGAGAAUUUAAAUUUAAAAUUAAAAGUAAAAUUUUCUUGAAAUUAAAUAACAUUCCACGAAAAUCCAUAAAGUUUAAGAAUAAAAAAUAAAUUCCCCAAAAUUUUAGAUUUUCUCAGUUUUUCAUGAUCCGGUUGUAAAAUUAUCGAAAAGAGAAUGCAUCUAUGAUAUGCCUUAUCUCGAUGUUGACGACAGAGAGUGGAGAAAGUCGCGUCUCUCUCUCUCUCUCUCUCUCUCUCUCUCUCUCUCUCUCUCUCUCUCUCUCACGAUGUGAUAUAUCUCGUUAUAGAUCCCGUCUAGACGACGGCUGAGGGUGUCACGCGGUAAAAUAAUCAAUAGUUCCCGAGGGCUUGCAACUCCAAGUGUCUCGCGGUGCACGCACCAGUCGCGAUUUCGUUAUUAAUCGAAGAACGAAGGUACACACACACACACACAUCGUUGCUCGAGGGUUCGUCGAACCUCGAGUGUAGGGUGGGCAUCCUUGAACUUCGUAAGAGCGACGAAUAGAAUGACAAGGGUAUGUACAUAUCGAUUGCGCAUAGGCGUCACUUUUCUGCAGAUAAAAGUAACUCUAUAUAUAACUCACUUAUCUUAAAUAUUAUAUAAAAGAUAAAAAAAGAAUAAUGAUAAGAGAGAGACUCUUUAACGAAAGAAUUCACGGUUGUAACAUUAUCGUAAACAACUUUUUUGUACUGUGAACAUUUGUCUCAUUCCUCUGAUAAAUUAAUAUGUAUAAAGGAAUUAUUAAAUAGUGUUAGUGUUAAAUAAUACAAUUUAAAAAUAAAUAAUAUAAAAAAAUUAUAAUAGAUUUUAAGAAAUAUAAAUUUUAAGAUAAAUAAAAUAAAUAUGCAUGUCAGAUAUAUUAUAAUUAUUAACUUUUAAAAUAUUGUAUGUUUCCAUAAUUUACACAUUGUAAAGUGUCACAUCUAUUAUGUUAAUCUUUUAUAUAAUAAUUAUGUUACUUUCUGAGGUAUUCACCGUAUUUCGUUAAAUUAACACAAAAAUUCGAAUGAAACAUUUGGGACACGUGAAAUUGUGUUAAGAAUACAAAACUUUUUUACUGUGCAUAUAAAGGUGUGAUACCGUUGGAGAUUUUGCAAAUAAAUUAACGCACAUCGUGUACAGGUGUGUUUUUACUGCGGGUCCAUUCACCCCUUUUCAAAAUUAUAGAUCAUACACAAAUAUGCGUCGAAUUAACAAAACUUUCCGUUUUUUGAAAAAUGACACAGCUGGUUUCUCAAUCGGGUGAAAAAUACGAACAUAUUCGCAAUCUAUCGAAUCAUUCUUUGAGAAAAACAAGGGGGAAAAAAGAGAAGGGACGUUUCGUUAUAUUUUAUGUACAUAAAAAAUGUAUAAAAUAUUACAUAAAAGAACAAUCGUAGGAAGUUUUAAGGGAAUAUUCUCGUUUUCGGUAUCAUUUUUGUAUCUUGAUUUAUUAUAAUUUUAAAAUUUGAAAAAUUUUGGAAUUUGAAAAAUACAAAAAAAUAAUAAUCGACUGUUUAAAACCCAAAUGCAAGAAAAUCCUAAAUAUUCUAUGGAAAAAAGAACUCUAAAACAGCGCUGAGAGCAGCGACCCUGACCGACACGCUUCGUAGAGUACAGAAUUUGCAUCGAGCCGCCUGCAAAACUCGAGUCGAGCUUAAUCGCGGCCUCGUUCGACAGUACUAGACAAACAGUAAUUCAGACACAAUUGCGCGGAAUCAGUGCCGCACAAAACGAUCGUCGUUAACAUUCCGGAGCUCUCAGAGGGCGAGCAUCUUUAAGAGUGUCGUGAAGUAAGGCGAAGAAGAGUUAGAGUUAGACCAAUGGAGCGACGAUUUCUGAUUAAGCCUUCUCAUUCCUCUCUGCACAACAAGUAAAACGCGUUGGAACUACUAAAACUUGAAUUUAAAAAAUCCCUACGGCUUUUCAAAUAAAAGAGUCUCUGUGUUUUUACUAUACAAAAAAUAAAAACAUUCUUCUCUUGAAAAGACAAUCUAAGCGCUCGAGGUCAAGAUUUAAGAAAAAAGAUCAAAAUUGUCGGCAAUCGUGAAAAUCCUGUCGCUGAUUAGAUAACGGGAUUUCACUGCUCGUGUCUGACGAGGCAUAAAUUCUUUCAUUAAGACGAUUUCGUCGAGAGACACGCACGGAAGCUGACGAGGAGCGGACCGAGAGGAACGCAUUGUGCGUGUGCGCGUAGGCGUGUGCCAGGGAUCACGCAACCGACCCCUCUUGUUCACAAUCAGCCCUUUGACACACACGUCUGAACCUGAAGCCCACGCGAUACACAGUGGAGCAGGAGCCAAAAAAAAUCUGACUGAAACUCAGUCAGAUUCAAUUUUGCAAAACUCUAUUUUUGUUUUUUUUUUUCGUACAUUGCAUAUUUUUACUUAUUAUAUAUCAAAAAUAAAUACCUUAUUAAAUUUCAGUGUUAAAUUGUUUAAUUUAAACUUUGUUUAAUCUAAAACAUUUUCAAGUAUUGAAAAAAAGUAGACAGAAGUAAUACAUUUUAAUAUUCUAAAGUUAAAUACUUUUUCUUCGUGAAUUGAUAACUUGGAGUCAACGUAAAAGUACAGCAGUUUAUAUAUGUCAUAUACGAAUAUGUACGAAAAUAAUGUCAAAUAAAUUUAUAUUCUGCAUAAAAGUAACAGUAAAAAUGAUGAUAUGUAAUUAUCUAUGCGAGUCUGAGAAGCAAGAUUCAAAAGACUACCUUUUCGACAAGCUUUUUUGAAUUUUAUGCCGCUGUGCGACGGCUUACAAAAAAAAGUCUGGAGACGAAAAGAAGAUUUAAAGACCGACCUUGUGGCGACAGUGGAAAAAAACCGGUGCCUUUCAUAAGGCCCUUUAAAGUUUAAAGGGCGAAAUGAGAGCCCGACCGUUACCUCGAAAGUGGCCGAUCUCAUGGUGACAACGGAAGCGGAUCGGUGCCUUUCAUAAGACCCUUUUAAAGUUUAAAGGGCGAAAUAAGAGCCCGACCGACUCCCUGCUAUUUCGGAAGUGACUGAUUCAAGUUUGCCCUAGCUACCAGUUCUCUCUAAUAUAUACACUUUUUUUUAAUCACAAUCUGGCAACCUCCGGAUUGCCUUUCCCUCAAUCAAUAAACUGAUAUUGUGAACCUCUCAAUCGCUCCAAUCCUUCCACAAUUAUUUCUUUCGAUCAAUUGGCAUUCUAGCGCUAGAUAUAAACGCAAUUAUAUUUCCGCGACAGAGGAAGCAAACAGGAAAUGAUCGCCGUCCCGACGCAAGGGCGACGCGGAAGGGUUCGACGGGAGGGUGUAAUUACCGGGGGAGGGUGGCCAACAGUAACGACUUCUGCGAAACGUGCCUUACAAUCAACUACGCGGCCCUGCCGACUGAUAACAAUGGAAAGAUAAGGAUGAUCAUAAACAGCCGCAUAAGAGCGGAACGCGCUUUCGGAGCACGUUUCCUUUUUUUUCAUCAAAGAGACGAAGAGAGAGAUAUAUGAGCUCAACUCGAUCAAUAUUGUCGGACAGAGAUAGAUGGCAGAUUUGAGGGAAAAAAGGUCGAGAAAGAUAAGAGAGAGAAAGAGAGAGAGAGAGAGAGAGUAACAGACCUGCUGAUCGAUCGCAAAAGUAGCGGAAAAAAAAAGAAACGACGUAAAAAUAACGUCAAACGAUCAAAAGAUCACAAUGCUGCCGCGCGUUUUCACGCAAGAGUAAAAAAAGAUUGUGCCUUCUCCCCUUUUCAGUCAUGGAUUUAAAAAAGCAACCCCUUAUCGCGCCCCCGGCUCGCGGACAAAAUUCCAGGCUCUUUCACCUCUCCAACCGACCCAACCCUUUCCCUACGCACGAAACAAACUUGUCUCCCUGCGAUACAAUUUUCAAGUCCACGGCGUAUUUUGCGAGGGAAAAAAUGGUGGCGAGGAUGGUGAAAACAUAUAAAUACUCCUCUAAAGCAUAAGAUUUCAAUUUUCCUCUUAGUUAUUUGCGCAGCUUUUCAGUGUAUUUAGCCGGAUUAAAUAAUUCUGCUAAACAAUUGUAUUUUUAAACCACAGAUUUGAAUUCUCAAAAUGCUUUUAUUCAUGAUAUUCCUCGAUUAUAUAAUGUACCUUUUGUGGAAAGGAGAAAAUUAUAAAUGUAUCUUUUUCAUUAGAAGAUGAAAAAGUAAGCUGACACAAUUUUAAAAUGUGAUCGUCUUAUCAUGUUAUCGAUGAACGUAAUCCAGUAACGUUUGCGUGCCACAAAUAUAUCUCGAUAAAACAGCGAUACCGAAUUAUUCGCAAAAUGUAAUGGCUAUAACUCUUGCGACAUUAACCCAGUUUUUUUUCUCAAGUACAACGUAGAGAAAAGUAUUCGUGUUUAAUGAUAUCUCGCAUCGUGUGUACCUCCGUAUUGAACAGAAGACCUUCCUUUUUAGGAAUUCGCGUGCACAUCGUCGUCUGCAUGCGCAGAAUAUAUUUGAUCGAUAAGCUCGACUAUUUUAAUCGAAGCGUACGCCGAAAUUAGAAAAGAUCCGAAAAAAUAUAUCGAUGUCAACCUCGUCGUGACAUAGGUGGAUAAAAUUUUGAAAUGCAAACUUAGUUGAAAUUGUUUCUUACACAUUUCAUGUUCAUAGAAACUGAACUGUUUAUAUAACUUUUUUUUCUUAUUUCUGCUCAUAAAACAUAUUCUCUAUUAUUAUAAAAUUUAUACGAAAAAAUCGAGGAUACUCUCAUAUAUAUUUUCAUCUAUAAAGUAUAUAAAUGUAUUCAUUGGAUGAGAUAUAUACAUACGCGGAAGAAAAAAACAAUCUAAAGUUUUCUAAUACUUUUAAGUGUUAGCUGAUAUAGCUGACAACGUUGAAGACGGUUAACACAUGGCCUCGCGUUUUAGCCUUGGAUACCGCUGCUGAUAAAUCAAGCUCAUGUUUUUCUUAGGCGCCGCGGCGAAACCUUACCGUGUGUGUAUUUUUGUUCGAGUUUCCGUGCGUAAAAAUGGACGCGCGGAUUAAAAAACGAAGAGAUCAACGAGAAAAAAAA
rnacentral:lncRNA from 1 species